rnacentral:tRNA from 1 species
GAGGGUAUAGCUCAAGCAGUAGAGUUCAUGCUUUGCAUGCACGAGGUCCUGGGUUCAAUCCCCAGUACCUCCA